rnacentral:rRNA from 1 species
GAGGGGCAGCGGGGUUGUAGCAUACAACUGCCGGCGACCGGCGCACGGGUGAGUAACACGUAUGUAACCUGCCCUCUGCAGGGGGAUAAGCGGAAGAAAUUCCGUCUAAUACCGCAUAAUACAAUUUGGAGACAUCUCCGGGUUGUCAAAGGAGUGAUCCGGCAGAGGAUGGACAUGCGGCGCAUUAGCUAGUCGGCGGGGUAACGGCCCACCGAGGCUACGAUGCGUAGGGGUUCUGAGAGGAAGGUCCCCCACACUGGUACUGAGACACGGACCAGACUCCUACGGGAGGCAGCAGUGAGGAAUAUUGGUCAAUGGGCGGAAGCCUGAACCAGCCAAGUCGCGUGAGGGAAGACGGUCCUAUGGAUUGUAAACCUCUUUUGCAGGGGAGCAAGGCGCGGUACGUGUACCGCGAAGGAGAGUACCCUGAGAAAAAGCAUCGGCUAACUCCGUGCCAGCAGCCGCGGUAAUACGGAGGAUGCGAGCGUUAUCCGGAUUUAUUGGGUUUAAAGGGUGCGCAGGCGGACUGUUAAGUCAGCGGUAAAAUGUCGGUGCUCAACACCGGCCGGCCGUUGAAACUGGCAGCCUUGAGUGAGCGAGAAGUAUGCGGAAUGCGUGGUGUAGCGGUGAAAUGCAUAGAUAUCACGAAGAACUCCGAUUGCGAAGGCAGCAUACCGGCGCUCAACUGACGCUC